rnacentral:rRNA from 1 species
GGUUCAGGAUGAACGCUAGCUACAGGCUUAACACAUGCAAGUCGAGGGGCAGCAUUAUCGAAGCUUGCUUUGAUAGAUGGCGACCGGCGCACGGGUGAGUAACGCGUAUCCAACCUUCCCAUCACUCAGGGAUAGCCCGCCGGAAGGCGAAUUAAUACCUGAUGGUCUCCUUUGCGGACAUCUAACGAGGAGUAAAGAUUUAUUGGUGAUGGAUGGGGAUGCGUCUGAUUAGGUAGUAGGCGGGGUAACGGCCCACCUAGCCGACGAUCAGUAGGGGUUCUGAGAGGAAGGUCCCCCACAUUGGAACUGAGACACGGUCCAAACUCCUACGGGAGGCAGCAGUGAGGAAUAUUGGUCAAUGGACGGAAGUCUGAACCAGCCAAGUAGCGUGCAGGAAUGACGGCCCUAUGGGUUGUAAACUGCUUUUGUGCGGGAAUAAAGUAUGGGACGUGUCCCAUUUUGCAUGUACCGCACGAAUAAGGACCGGCUAAUUCCGUGCCAGCAGCAGC